rnacentral:rRNA from 1 species
CAGUAGCCGCGGGAAUACGAAGGGGGCUAGCGUUGCUCGGAAUGACUGGGCGUAAAGGGCGCGUAGGCGGCGGCCAAAGUCAGGCGUGAAAUUCCCGGGCUCAACCUGGGGGCUGCGUUUGAUACUUGGUUGCUUGAGUGGGGAAGAGGGUCGUGGAAUUCCCAGUGUAGAGGUGAAAUUCGUAGAUAUUGGGAAGAACACCGGUGGCGAAGGCGGCGACCUGGUCCUUUACUGACGCUGAGGCGCGAAAGCGUGUGGAGCAAACAGGAUUAGAUACCCCCGUAGUCCCUGUCUCUUAUAC